GUGCGAGACCGAUAGCGAACAAGUACCGUGAGGGAAAGAUGAAAAGAACUUUGAAAAGAGAGUUAAAGAGUACCUGAAACUGCUGAAAGGGAACCGAAUCGUUUCCAGUGUCUAUAAUCCAUGGUAUAUUUCAUUGGCGCGUGAGUGCGUGCAGCGUUUUGGAAGCGGUCUCCGCUCCUGUCGUUGUUGUGCAUUUGCUUGCUGGUGCCCUGUGCUGUGGUGGGACGUCAGAGUCAGUUUGUAUGUUGCGGGAAAUGGUUAUCAGGGAGGUAGGUCGCUUCGGUGGCUGUUAUAUCCUGGUAACUAGUCGUCGUGGCUGAGACUGAGGUGCCUAC
rnacentral:rRNA from 2 species